rnacentral:rRNA from 1 species
GACGAACGCUGGCGGCGUGCCUAAUACAUGCAAGUCGAGCGGACGGAUGGGAGCGUGCUCCCAUACCGUCACCGGCGGACGGGGGAGUAACACGUUCUCAACCUGCCUGUAAGGGUGGGAUAACUCCGGGAAACCGGGGCUAAUACCGGAUAACACUUUCCCUCACAUAAGGGAAAGCUGAAAGAUGGCAUCUCCCUAUCACUUACAGAUGUGCCCGCGGCGCAUUAGCUAGUUGGUGGGGUAACGGCUCACCGAGGCGACGAUGCGUAGCCGACCUGAGAGGGUGACCGGCCACACUGGGACUGAGACACGGCCCAGACUCCUACGGGAGGCAGCAGUGGGGAAUCUUCCGCAAUGGACGAAAGUCUGAUGGAGCAACGCCGCGUGUGUGAUGAAGGUUUUCGGAUCGUAAAACUCUGUUGUCAGGGAAGAACAAGUACCGGAGUAACUGCCGGUACCUUGACGGUACCUGACCAGAAAGCCACGGCUAACUCCGUG